CUCUGAUACUACAGUUGCCGCUACAUUUUACUUUUUAUCUUUUAUUUUAUUUGAAAUAUGCUUUUAACUAAUGUAUCAACUUCGAUAUUCAUUCUGUAAUGGCUGUAAUAUUGGUCGGUGUAUUUUUAACUUCAUAAAAUGGUAGUUAGUUCUUCAUCAUAAAGUUGCUCUAAAUCUUGUGUCAUUGUUUUGCUGCUGUCUGGCUG
rnacentral:misc_RNA from 1 species